rnacentral:rRNA from 1 species
CUACGGGUUGCUGCAGUGAGGAAUUUUGCGCAAUGGGGGAAACCCUGACGCAGCAACGCCGCGUGAGCGAAGAAGGCCUUCGGGUCGUAAAGCUCUGUCAAGUGGGAAAAAAAUUCUUUGAUGAACAGUCAAAGGACUUGAUGGUACCACUGGAGGAAGCACCGGCUAACUCCGUGCCAGCAGCCGCGGUAAUACGGAGGGUGCAAGCGUUGUUCGGAAUUACUGGGCGUAAAGAGCGUGUAGGCGGUUUGACAAGUCAGAUGUGAAAGCCCCGGGCUCAACCCGGGAAGUGCAUUUGCAACUGUUUCACUAGAGUAUGGGAGAGGAGAGUGGAAUUCCUGGUGUAGAGGUGAAAUUCGUAGAUAUCAGGAGGAACACCCGUGGCGAAGGCGAUUCUCUGGACCAAUACUGACGCUGAGACGCGAAAGCGUGGGGAGCAAACAGGAUUAGAUACCCGGGUAGUC